GUAGUAGUAGAAGUAGUAGUAGUAGUAGUAGUAGUAGUAGUAGUAGUAGUAGUGGUAGUAGUAGUAGUAGUAGUAGUAGUAGAAGUAGAAGUAGCAGUAGUAGUAGUAGUAGUAGAAGUAGUAGUAGUAGUAGUAGUAGUAGUAGUAGUAGUAGUAGUAGUAGUAGUAGUAGUUGUUGUUGUUGUUGUUGUGGCUGUUGUAAUAGUAGUAGUAGUUUUGCAGAAGUAGUAGUAGUAGUAGUAGUAGUACUAGUAGUAGUAAUAUUGGUAGUAGAAGUAAUAGUAGUAACUUUCAAAGCAAUGUCUACAAGUUUAAAUUCCUUAACCCUGUUCAAGGUGUAUACACACUCAAUAUUUAACUACAGUCCAGGUUUGCAAUUAACAAACUAUCUGAGGUGCCUGUGUGUGAGUCAGAUAUGUCUGCGGCUAAUCUAUUGGUUAUAAAAUAUCACAGCCUUUUCUGAUUGGCGGAGUUCAAAUACAGAAAGUUUACCUGUUAGAUUGAAAUUCUGGAGUAGGCGUAUUGUAUGCAGGUUAAACUUGUUGUUAAAAUGAAGUUUAUGUAAUUUCACAAACAGUAGAGUUAAUGAGUUUUUCCAUUAACAAGAAUUUCUUAAAAUAAUAAUGUAUGGAUAUCAUUUGGAAAGUGACAUGAAAUGUUGUUAAAAAGUGAUGCAUACAAGUGUUUCAGAAGUCUGUCUAGGAAUAGAACAACAACUAAAGCUGACCAGUUGAUGGAAGAUACUGCAGAGUUUGGCAGGGAAAUAACCCAAGACAGCAAAGCGGCUCUUUUGGCGCAUUUACCAAGAGGACUAACAUGGCCACAAAUUCAUGAGAUCAUGCAGGAGCCGUACAGUAUAACAGCAGUACAAGUUCUAUAAAAGAUCCACGACCUACUGAAGCCCAGCUAAUUAACAAAAAAGUUUUUAAAAACUGUAAUUUUAUCCCACCUGGGUACUUAUAAUUUACUAAGCUGUCUACGCAAGUUUUAGACUUGCAAUUAUAUUUUAAAUUGUCACUUAAUGGAAAGUAAAACAUGUACAUGCAUUAUGUUCUGAAUUUCUUUGAACAAUAAAACUAUAUAAAAGUAUUUUAAUGAAAUUAAGCACCUAAAUUGCAUUAAGUGAAAGUAGCUGAGAACAAGAUGUGUUUGUGAAACACAAUGUCCCCCUAUAUGACGUUUGACCUUGAAGGAUGACCUUGACCUUGACCCUUCACCACUCAAAAUGUGCAGCACCAUAAGUUACACAUGCAUGCCAAAUAUCAAGUUGCUAUCUUCAAUAUUGCAAAAGUUUUCAUAAAAUAAGCGAUUUGGGCCACAUAUAUUUGACCUCUGACCUUGAAGGAUGACCUUGAUCUUUCACCACUCAAAAUGUGCAGCUCCAUAAGUUACACAUG